GAGACCUCUCCCUCUCUAGCUCUGAGAUGGAGGGACCAGGCUGCAGUGACCUGAAUAGAGGACCUAGUUUGGAGCAGGACCGGGGAAAGGCCAAGGGAGCCGGGGAGCUCCCGCUUAGGAAAGCCCCAGGCUGUGGGCCUGGUAACCUGGUCCUGACCCUGAGCUCCGAUUUCUGCCUUCGGCUCUGGCCUCUGGCUCUGACCCUUGGCUCGAAUUUCUGGCUACCAGCUCCAGCUCUAACCACUGGAUAUGACUCCUGCUCCAACCACUCAGCAUGACCACUCACGUCCUAGUCACUGACAUUGGGCCCAUCUCUGAUUGUUCAUCCCAAAAGUACAGCCACAGAGAUUCCCAAAUGAUGUUUGCUAAUGGGAGGCAUUCGCAGUGGAGCUGGAACAAUUUUGACAGUUGGGGUGCUGAAAGUCAGUGGUCCGCAAACUUUUUACCUUGCCCCUUCUUACCCCAUCUAUGCUCCCUCUUCCCCCGAGUUGGGGCCAGGAGUGGGCUGUGAAUCGGGGUAAGGUGACUCAGGCUGGGACCACACCUUGCGGGGCUAGCAGCGGGACCCCGUAUCUGGGACCAGCAGUGGAGCAUGGGGCUGGCAGCUGGGACCCCUCGCAAACUGAUUAACCCCUUGCAACCCAAGUUCCCAUGCCUAUGGGCAUUUGUAGGCUCUCACUAGGUGAUUGCACCGUGUAACACACAGCUUGUAUGAAUAACUCCCAUGUUUGUUUUCCAGGUGCUGUAUUGAGAAUUGCCAAUGAAAAUAUGUCUGUCGCUACUGUGAAUGUAAAACUGUCUGUACUGAAAAGUAAAUACAUUCAAAAUUUCUA